rnacentral:rRNA from 1 species
GCCAAUAGUCUAGCCCCCCAACAUCUAAUGGAAUUAAACACCUUGUCACAAAAACUAAAACAUUUUAUUAAUCUAGUAAAGGCGAUUAAAAGAUUUGUAGGAGCAAUAUAAGCAGUACCGCAAGGGAAAGAUGAAAUAAAAAUGAAAUAAAUAUUAAGCACAAAAUAGUAGAGACUAACUCUCGUACCUUUUGCAUCAUGGUUUAACAAGUCCAAUCAAGCAUAAAGACUUACAGUUUGACCUCCCGAAACUAAGUGAGCUACUUCAGGGCAGCUUAUUGAGCGAACCCGUCUCUGUUGCAAAAGAGUGGGAUGACCUUCAAGUAGGGGUGACAGACCUAACGAACUUAGUGAUAGCUGGUUGCUCAAGAAAAGGAUUUAAGUCCAGCCUAAAGUCUUCUUAGUUUAUCAAAACAUGACCUCGACUUUAGAGUAAUUCAAAUAAGGUACAGCCUAUUUGAAAAAGGAUACAACCUAGACUAAUGGGUAAUGAUUCAACUUUAUAACUAAGUGGGCCUAAAAGCAGCCACCUUUAAAACAGCGUCAAAGCUUCAUUAUAACACACACCUAAUACCAUAAAAAUUUGAUACCCCUUUAAUUCUAUUGAGUAAUUCUAUACUAUUAUAGAAAAUAUAAUGUUAAAACUAGUAACAAGAAGAAGACCUUCUCUUUAAUGCAAGUGUAAAUCAGAAAGGACCUCCCACUGAUAAUUAACCCCCAUGAAACUACAUUAGCAACCUCACAAGAAAAUCCUAAUAAAUUUUGAGUUAAUCUAACACAAGGGCAUUACAAGAAAGAUUUAAAGAAAAAGAAGGAACUU